UACGUAGGUGGCAAGCGUUGUCCGGAUUUAUUGGGUUUAAAGGGUGCGUAGGCAGUCCUGUAAGUCAGUGGUGAAAUACGGCAGCUCAACUGUCGAGGUGCCAUUGAUACUGCAGAACUUGAGUACAGUCGAGGUAGGCGGAAUUGACAGUGUAGCGGUGAAAUGCUUAGAUAUCGUCAAGAACACCGAUAGCGAAGGCAGCUUACUAGGCUGUAACUGACACUGAGGCACGAAAGUGCGGGGAUCAAACAGG
rnacentral:rRNA from 1 species